AAAGCCUUCCUAUAACUCUCACGAGUUCACGCGCGGCGCACGCACAAAGAGAGAGAGAGAGAGAGAUCGAUGCCGGGUUGGGGACCGCCGCCGGGAGGACCUCCCGGACCGCCGGGGCCGUGCGGUUGCCUAGGCUUCUGCUGCGACGGUAUCUGCCGGCUCGCAUCCGCAUGUUUCUACUACCUGUGCUGCUGCUGCAUCUUGGAGAGCUGCUGCGGACCAGUUUUCGGCGGGCCUCCUGGUGGGCCCCCUCCCUUCUGAUCGGCCCAUUUACUCCUCGUGAUGAUUUGGUGUAUUGAAAUUUAUGUUUGUGGGGUCCCUCUUCUCUUUAUGACUUGCUCGCUAGGCUGUACAUAUAAAGACCAUUUCAUAUUUUUUGGGUCAGAAAUAAAUCCUGGAAAUAAAAAAUAAAUUUUA